rnacentral:rRNA from 1 species
GACGAACGCUGGCGGCGUGCUUAACACAUGCAAGUCGAACGGAAAGGCCCUGCUUUUGUGGGGUGCUCGAGUGGCGAACGGGUGAGUAACACGUGAGUAACCUGCCCUUGACUUUGGGAUAACUUCAGGAAACUGGGGCUAAUACCGGAUAGGAGCUCCUGCUGCAUGGUGGGGGUUGGAAAGUUUCGGCGGUUGGGGAUGGACUGGCGGCUUAUCAGCUUGUUGGUGGGGUAGUGGCUUACCAAGGCUUUGACGGGUAGCCGGCCUGAGAGGGUGACCGGCCGCAUGGGGACUGAGAGAGGGCCCAGACGCGAACGGGGGGCAACGGGGGGAAAUAUUGAACAAGGGGCGGAAGCCGGAUGCAGAAGCGCCGCGUGCGGGAAGACGGCCUUCGGGUUGAAAACCGCUUUCGCCUGUGACGAAGCGUGGGUGACGGUAAUGGAUAAAGAAGCACCGGCUAACUACGUG